rnacentral:lncRNA from 1 species
ACCCCCAAACGUGUCCAAUCCCCAAAACGUGUCCAUAUCAAGCGUUAUUUGGUUAUUGCUAUUUCAUUAACGUAUACUAAUUUUACCAUUUCAUUAAAAAUAUACAUAAGCACGUUAGUACUUUUUCAAAACGGAAGAAUUAAACUGGCUUAAAGUGGGGGCGUCAUUUCGGCUAUUUCGUUUGUAAAUUGUAAGCAAACAUGUUGAGUUAAACAGUACAGUUAACGGGUCAAAGUGUCCCUUUCUCUGCGCGUUAAAACUUUAAUGUUCUCUCUAAUUAUGCAUGAAAUACUGACAACUGGACAAUUCGCAAUCAACAGUCCUAAAGUUAAUUUAUUCAGUAGAACUGAAAAAAAACAUUAAAACUUGUAUGUUUUCUCUAAUUUGCAUGAAAUACUUGCAACUGGACAAUAUGCAACCAGCAGUCUAGAGUUUAUCUUAACAAAAGAACAGUAAAAACAUUAAAACAUGUAUGUUAAAAUGUAAAAAAAAAAAAAAAAAAAAAAAAAAAAAACAGGUAGCCUAUGUUCUCUCUAAAUAGAACUGCAAAAACAUUAAAACUUGUAUGUUCUCUCUAAAUAUGCAUGACAUACUUGCAACUGGACAAUACGCGAUCAUCAGUUUAAAGUUUAGUUUAAAGUUAAUGUGUACAGUACAACUGUAAAAACAUUAAAACUUGCAAAACUAUUGUGCGCUCUAAAUAUGCAUAAAGUACUUGCAACUGGACAAUACGUAAUCAACAUUCUAAAGUUUAUUUAUACACUACAAAAUAAAUUUGCAUUUAAAACCGGCGUUGAUCACAUAACAGUAAUAUUCAUAAAAAAAAAGAAUCUAUAAAACUUAUGCAUGAAAUAUUUGGCACUGGACGUUAUGUUUCUUAUCGUGUGUCUUUAGUGAUGGUGGAAACCUAAAAUUUAUUAAAAACCAGGAUAACAAGUUUAUAAUUUGAUGGGCUUUUGAAAUACACACAAACUAUUGACAAAAGUAAAAAAAAAUACUGUUAAAACCCCGCCAUGCAAUAUUCGGAUAAAUAUAAAAGGCAUCAUCGGAGUUUAUAAGUACAAAAUAAUUAACAAAGUUAACGAUUAAUUCAACUCCAGAACUAUGUGUAUGUUCGCUCUAAACGAAUAUGAAAUACUUGCAACUGGACAAUAAACAACUGCAGUCAAAGUUACUUAAUAAUAACAGAUUAAUUUUGCAAUUAUUAUAAUCAUUAAAAACCUACAUCGAACUAACUUAAUCUGAUAAAGAACAUCUUCAUCACGUGUGUCUCCCAUCAUAGAAUUGCCGUAAACGUUAUCAGCGAUUUUAUUUAAGAGAUACAUGUAAAAGCGCUAAAAGACGUGUAACGUUUUGGCGUUAAAUAUUGGACACGUUUUGGCGAAUAACAAUUAUCGGACACGUUUGGGGGUUAUGAAAUCGGA